rnacentral:rRNA from 1 species
GAGUUUGAUCGUGGCUCAGAUUGAACGCUGGCGGCAGGCCUAACACAUGCAAGUCGAGCGGUAGAGAGAAGCUUGCUUCUCUUGAGAGCGGCGGACGGGUGAGUAAUGCCUAGGAAUCUGCCUGGUAGUGGGGGAUAACGCUCGGAAACGGACGCUAAUACCGCAUACGUCCUACGGGAGAAAGCAGGGGACCUUCGGGCCUUGCGCUAUCAGAUGAGCCUAGGUCGGAUUAGCUAGUUGGUGAGGUAAUGGCUCACCAAGGCGACGAUCCGUAACUGGUCUGAGAGGAUGAUCAGUCACACUGGAACUGAGACACGGUCCAGACUCCUACGGGAGGCAGCAGUGGGGAAUAUUGGACAAUGGGCGAAAGCCUGAUCCAGCCAUGCCGCGUGUGUGAAGAAGGUCUUCGGAUUGUAAGGCACUUUAAGUUGGGAGGAAGGGCAGUAAAUUAAUACUUUGCUGUUUUGACGUUACCGACAGAAUAAGCGCCGGCUAACUCUGUGACAGCCGCCG